rnacentral:rRNA from 1 species
UACAGAGGUCUCAAGCGCUGUUCGGAUUCAUUGGGCGUAAAGGGUGCGUAGGUGGCGCUGUAAGUCGGGUGUGAAAUUUCGGAGCUUAACUCCGAAACUGCAUUCGAUACUGCGGUGCUUGAGGACUGGAGAGGAGACUGGAAUUCAUGGUGUAGCAGUGAAAUGCGUAGAUAUCGUAAGGAAGACCAGUGGCGAAGGCGGGUCUCUGGACAGUUCCUGACGCUGAGGCACGAAGGUCAGGGGAGCAAACGGG